rnacentral:rRNA from 1 species
GAUGAACGCUGGCGGCGUGCCUAAUACAUGCAAGUCGAGCGAACGGACGAGAAGCUUGCUUCUCUGAUGUUAGCGGCGGACGGGUGAGUAACACGUGGAUAACCUACCUAUAAGACUGGGAUAACUUCGGGAAACCGGAGCUAAUACCGGAUAAUAUUUUGAACCGCAUGGUUCAAAAGUAAAAGACGGUCUCGCUGUCACUUAUAGAUGGAUCCGCGCUGCAUUAGCUAGUUGGUAAGGUAACGGCUUACCAAGGCAACGAUGCAUAGCCGACCUGAGAGGGUGAUCGGCCACACUGGAACUGAGACACGGUCCAGACUCCUACGGGAGGCAGCAGUAGGGAAUCUUCCGCAAUGGGCGAAAGCCUGACGGAGCAACGCCGCGUGAGUGAUGAAGGUCUUCGGAUCGUAAAACUCUGUUAUUAGGGAAGAACAUAUGUGUAAGUAACUGUGCACAUCUUGACGGUACCUAAUCAGAAAGCCACGGCUAACUACGUG